rnacentral:lncRNA from 8 species
CUCUUUCUUUCCCUUUCUAUUUACCUCUCUCUUUCCCAUCUCUCUCUUCUCUCUCCCUUUCUUCCCCUUUCUAUUUACCUCUCUCUUUCCCCUCUCUCUUUUCUCUCUCGCUCUUUCUUCCCCUUUCUAUUUACCUCUCUCUUUCCCCUCUCUCUCUCCCUUCCCCUUUCUAUUUACCUCUUUCUUUCCCUUUCUGUUUACCUCUCUCUUUCCCCUCUCUCUCUCUCUCUCUCUCUCUCUCUCUUUUUUCCCUUUCUGUUUACCUCUCUCUUUCCCUUUUCUCUCUCUUUCUUUCCCUUUCUAUUUACCUCUCUCUUUCCCCCCUCUCUCUCUCUUUCUUCCCCUUUCUAUUUACCUCUCUCUUUCCCCUCUCUCUCUUCUCUCUCUUCCCCUUUCUAUUUAUCUCUCUCUUUCCCCUCUCUCUCUUCUCUCUCUCUCUCUCUCGCUCUUUCUUCCCCUUUCUAUUUACCUCUCUCUUUCCCCUCUCUCUCUCCCUUUCUUCCCCUUUCUAUUUUACCUCUCUCUUUCCCCUCUCUCUUCUCUCUCUCUCUCUUUCUUCCCCUUUCUAUUUACCUCUCUCUUUCCCCUCUCUCUCUUCUCUCUCUCUCUUUCUUCCCCUUUCUAUUUACCUCUCUCUUUCCCCUCUCUCUUCUCUCUCUCUUUCUUUCCCUUUCUAUUUACCUCUCUUUCCCCUCUCUCUCUUCUCUCUCUCUCUUUCUUCCCCUUUCUAUUUACCUCUCUCUUUCCCCUCUCUCUCUUCUCUCUCUCUCUCUCUUUCUUUCCCUUUCUAUUUACCUCUUGCUCUUUCCUUCUGUCUCUUCCACUCACUUCGCUCUCACUUUUAUCUCUGCCUCCUCUCUGAUCCUUUCCCUUCAUUGAUCUCCUACUGCAGUCUCCCUCGCUCUCACCCUCUCCACAAUCUCCCUCCCUCUUUCCCCAGUUUCUCCCUCCUCUUUUGCCUCCCUCCCUCCUCUUCUCCGCCCCUCUCUCUCUCUCUCCUUCUUUCUCUCCUCGUCUCCCGUACUACAUCCCUCCCUCCCUCCCUCCUUUUCGAACCCUCCUCUCACUCUUCUUCUCCCUCCUUCCUUCCUUCCCUCCCUCCACUUCUCCCUUCUCUCUCUCUCCUCCUCUCACUAUUCUUCUCCCUCCUUCCCUCUCUCCUCUUCUCCCUCCCUCCAUCCCUCCUUCCUCUCUCUCUCCUCUCACUUCAGCCACUUAUCUCUGAUUGUUUCACAAUCUCGGAAGACAUCU